GACGGAGGGGGCAAGCGUUGCUCGGAAUUACUGGGCGUAAAGGGCGCGUAGGCGGGAUGGCAAGUCGGUCGUGAAAUCCCUCGGCUCAACUGAGGAGCGUCGAUCGAAACUGCCGUUCUUGAGGGUUGCAGAGGAGACUGGAAUUCCCGGUGUAGCGGUGAAAUGUGUAGAGAUCGGGAGGAACACCGGUGGCGAAGGCGGUUCUCUGGGCCUUACCUGACGCUGAGGAGCGAAAGCGUGGGGAGCGAACAGG
rnacentral:rRNA from 1 species